rnacentral:rRNA from 1 species
UACGUAGGGGGCAAGCGUUGUCCGGAUUUAUUGGGCGUAAAGAGCGUGUAGGCGGCCUGAAAGGUCAGCUGUGAAAACUCGAGGCUCAACCUCGAGACGUCGGUUGAAACCAUCUGGCUAGAGUCCGGAAGAGGAGAGUGGAAUUCCCGGUGUAGCGGUGAAAUGCGCAGAUAUCAGGAGGAACACCAAUGGCGAAGGCAGCUCGCUGGGACGGUACUGACACUGAGACGCGAAAGCGUGGGGAGCAAACAGG